GUCGCCAGCAAUAUCGGUAUAAGUCAAAGCACCUUUAGCGUUAAGGUACUGAAUCUCUUUAGUCGCAGUAGGCGGAAAACGAACAAGCGCAAGAGUAAACAUAGUGCCAUGCUCAGGAACAAAGAAACGCGGCACAGAAUGUUUAUAGGUCUGUUGAACACGACCAGAAAACUGGCCUAACGACGUUUGGUCAGUUCCAUC
rnacentral:rRNA from 1 species